rnacentral:rRNA from 1 species
AUACGGAGGAUCCGAGCGUUAUCCGGAUUUAUUGGGUUUAAAGGGUGCGCAGGCGGCCAUUUAAGUCAGCGGUUAAAUCGUGGGGCUCAACCCCAUUCUGCCGUUGAUACUGGGUGGCUUGAUUGCGGUCGAGGUUGGCGGAAUUCGUUGUGUAGCGGUGAAAUGCAUAGAUAUGACGAAGAACACCGAUUGCGUAGGCAGCUGACCAGACCGCAAAUGACGCUCAUGCACGAAAGUGCGGGGAUCGAACAGGAUUAGAUACCCUGGUAGUCCGCACAGUAAACGAUGAAUACUUGUUUUCGGCGAUAUAAUGUCGGAGGCAAAGCGAAAGCGAUAAGUAUUCCACCUGGGGAGUACGCCGGCAACGGUGAAACUCAAAUGAAUCGACGGGG